GAACGAGAAUCUAUUUAUUCAAUCUUCGGAAAAAAAAUUUAGAGGACAGUGGCGGAAGGGUGAGUAACGCGUGGGCAAUUUGCCCUCAAGUUUGGGAUAACGUUUGGAAACGAACGCUAAUACCGAAUGUGGUGGCUCUGUUAGUUCAGAGUUAACUAAAGGUGGGGAUUCUUCGGAACCUGCCGCUUGAGGAGGAGCCCGCGUCCCAUCAGUUAGUUGGUAGGGUAAUGGCCUACCAAGACUAAGACGGGUAGCCGGCCUGAGAGGGUGAUCGGCCACACUGGGACUGAGACACUGCCCAGACUCCUACGGGAGGCUGCAGUCGAGGAUCAUUCGCAAUGCGCGAAAGCGUGACGAUGCGACGCUGCGUGUAGGAUGACGGCCUUCGGGUUGUAAACUACUGUCAUAAGGGAAAAAUGGUGCAGGGAUUAAUAAUUUCUGCAAUUGAUGUUACCUUAAGAGGAAGCCACGGCUAACUCUGUGCCAGCAGCCGCGGUAAUACAGAGGUGGCGAGCGUUGUUCGGAUUUACUGGGCGUAAAGGGUGUGUAGGUGGUCACGUAUGUCGGAUGUGAAAUUCUGGGGCCUAACCCCAGCGCUGCAUUCGAAACUGCGUGUCUAGAGUACAGGAGAGGUAAGCGGAAUUCUUGGUGUAGCGGUGAAAUGCGUUGAUAUCAAGAAGAACACCGGAUGCGAAGGCGGCUUACUGGAAUGUUACUGACACUGAAACACGAAAGCUAGGGGAGCAAACAGGUUUAGAUACCCUGGUAGUCCUAGCUGUAAACGGUGUGCACUCGGUGUUGGCGGAAUUGUCCCCGCCAGUGCCUAAGCUAACGCGUUAAGUGCACCGCCUGGGGAGUACGGUCGCAAGAUUAAAACUCAAAGAAAUUGACGGGGACCCGCACAAGCGGAGGAGCAUGUGGCUUAAUUCGAUGCAACGCGAAGAACCUUACCUGGGCUUGACAUAUAACUGCACGUCCUGUGAAAGCAGGAUUCCUUAGAGGGUGUUAUACAGGUGCUGCAUGGCUGUCGUCAGUUCGUGCCGUGAGGUGUUGGGUUAAGUCCCGCAACGAACGCAACCCCUGUGUUUAGUUGCUACCAGGUAAUGCUGAGCACUCUAGACAGACUGCCCGUGUAAUCGGGAGGAAGGUGGGGACGACGUCAAGUCAGUAUGGCCCUUACGCCCAGGGCUGCACACGUGCUACAAUGACCGGUACAGAGGGUCGCAAUACCGCGAGGUGGAGCAAAUCCCUUAAAACCGGUCCCAGUUCGGAUUGGAGUCUGCAACUCGACUCCAUGAAGUUGGAUUCGCUAGUAACGGCGUAUCAGCUACGACGCCGUGAAUACGUUCCCGGGUCU
rnacentral:rRNA from 1 species